rnacentral:rRNA from 1 species
AUAAUCAUUUGUCUCUUAAUUAGAGGCUUGUAUGAAGGGUCGAAUGAGAUAAAAUCUGUUUUAAUUUAAUUAAUUAUUGAAUUUUAAUUUUUAGUAAAAAUGCUAAAAUUUUUAUAAAAGACGAGAAGACCCUAUAAAUCUUGAUUUUAUUAAUUAUAUAUUUUUAUGUAUAAUAAUUAAAAUUUUAUAUUUAUUAAAAUUAUAUUGGGGCGAUAAUGAAAUUUAAUUAACUUUUAUAUUUUUUAAAUGUAUAUUUACAGAUUAAUGAUCCAAUUUUAUUGAUUAAAAGUUUAAGUUACUUUAGGGAUAACAGCGUAAUAUUUUUAGAGAGUUCUUAUUAAUAAAAA